rnacentral:rRNA from 1 species
AUUGAACGCUGGCGGCAUGCCUUACACAUGCAAGUCGAACGGCAGCACGGGAGCAAUCCUGGUGGCGAGUGGCGAACGGGUGAGUAAUAUAUCGGAACGUGCCCAGUCGUGGGGGAUGACGUAGCGGAAGCUACGCUAAUACCGCAUACGAUCUAUGGAUGAAAGCGGGGGAUCGCAAGACCUCGCGCGAUUGGAGCGGCCGAUAUCAGAUUAGGUAGUUGGUGAGGUAAAGGCUCACCAAGCCGACGAUCUGUAGCUGGUCUGAGAGGACGACCAGCCACACUGGGACUGAGACACGGCCCAGACUCCUACGGGAGGCAGCAGUGGGGAAUUUUGGACAAUGGGCGCAGGCCCGAUCCAGCAAUGCCGCGUGCAGGAUGAAGGCCUUCGGGUUGUAAACUGCUUUUGUACGGAACGAAACGGCGAGCUCUAAUACAGCUUGCUAAUGACGGUACCGUAAGAAUAAGCACCGGCUAACUCUGUGCCAGCCGCCGCCGUAA